UUAAAGAUUGAUUUGGCUAUCAAAAUUAAAAAUUAAAUGCAAAAAUUUUGCUUUUCGUAUAUGCAAAAUAAGAAAAUUUUGACUGAUACAAUUGGAUCAGUAUUAUGGGUCUUAGUCCAAGUGUUAGUACACAAAUUAUAACUACCAAUUUUCAGUUUAAAAUACCCUUCAUAACAAGGUCAUUGGUGAUGAAUUUCAAGAGACAGCUCAGGAAGACGACUUUGCUGUGAUCCAGGACUCUUGUGACUUAGUUAAACAGAAGUAGAAGGAAGAAAGAAAAAAGAUGGAGAAGAACUAAGGGUGUAUUGAAGGGGAAGCGAUUUUGAAAAUUGUAUGUCAAGUUUUGCAGUGGUAAUAUAUAUACCAGUAUUGUUCAUAUUUAUAUCAGACGGCCACUUGUUAAAACUUUUAGUAGACUGCUGAAAAGAACUUAUAAGUCUGAUAAAGAUGAAGCAGAAAUAAAUAAAAUGAAAAAUUUGAA